rnacentral:rRNA from 1 species
GACGAACGCUGGCGGCGUGCCUAAUACAUGCAAGUAGAACGCUGAAGAGAGGAGCUUGCUCUUCUUGGAUGAGUUGCGAACGGGUGAGUAACGCGUAGGUAACCUGCCUGGUAGCGGGGGAUAACUAUUGGAAACGAUAGCUAAUACCGCAUAAAAUUGAUUAUUGCAUGAUAAUUAAUUGAAAGAUGCAGCUGCAUCACUACCAGAUGGACCUGCGUUGUAUUAGCUAGUUGGUGAGGUAACGGCUCACCAAGGCGACGAUACAUAGCCGACCUGAGAGGGUGAUCGGCCACACUGGGACUGAGACACGGCCCAGACUCCUACGGGAGGCAGCAGUAGGGAAUCUUCGGCAAUGGGGGGAACCCUGACCGAGCAACGCCGCGUGAGUGAAGAAGGUUUUCGGAUCGUAAAGCUCUGUUGUAAGAGAAGAACGGGUGUGAGAGUGGAAAGUUCACACUGUGACGGUAUCUUACCAGAAAGGGACGGCUAACUACGUG